UUGUAAUAAAAACCCGCCCAAGAAAUUUUUCUGUCUCUUUGUCGCAGGUCGUCCUCGAAGGAGGGUGUGUGAGAGAGAGAGAAAUUAUAAUGAAACGCCAGUGCUUUCCCAGUUCUGCCAUAUUUGGUCCAGGACUGGUCUACAGCCAAACUGAAUACUCCUGAAGAAGAUGAACACCAAACUUGAAUAACGUAACCCAACUAUUACCCUAGGAUAGCAUGUUCCUGCAGGAAGAGGUGCUGCAUUAUCCAAACCAGACAUCCCAGGUCUUACAGUGACUAAGGAACUGAUGCCUUACUAGACAACACUGGGACAAUACCAGGAGAACCCAUCUCAGCUGUUUGAGGGUUGGAGAGUAUACCGACUGUGGUUUCUAUCAGCUUUUUACCAGCUGUUCAGUGCUUUGAUUUUUUUUUUUUUUUCAAAUUUUUCCUUGUACUUGCAAGAGCCCUACCAUGCCCAGAUCAAAAGAGAUUCCUGAAGAACAACGGAAAAAGGUUAUUGAGGCGUACCAAUCUGGGCAGGGGUAUAAAACAAUUUCUAAAGAUUUGGGACUUCAGCGAACCACAGUCAGAAGCAUUGUUGACAAAUGGAAAAAAUAUGGAACUACAAUGAAUCUUCCUAAAAGUGGCCGUCCUGCCAAAAUCACUCUAGGUGGGAUUAAUAAAAUAAUCCAGGAAGUUAAAGCAAACCCCCAUAAAACAUCUAAAGAUCUACAGGCUGCCCUUGCCUUGGAUAAAAUCUGUGUUCAUGACUCUACAAUAAGGAGGACGGUCUCUAAAGAGAGGAUUCUUGGGAGUGAAUUGCCACCAAAACCAUCCACCACAAGGGAAAGUGCCAGAGAGCCUAAAUCUAUAUGAUGGUCUAUUGUGUACAUAGGGACCAACAUGUUUUCUUAGUGCUUCAUUUUCUGCUUAAUGUAAAUUGCUUUCAGUUCUUGUGAGCUAAAACUAGGCAUAAGAUUUUGCUGUAUUAUGGUCGUAUUUGUCAUUUGAAAUAACCAUUUAAUAAAAUCUUCACCUGUACUUAUUUU